GCCAAAAUUAUACCACUCUGUAUACCAAAGGGAAAAAGAGUGAACCAGAGUAAGUAUUUCAAUGUGUAUUUCUAGGCAAUACCCCCCCCCCCCAAUGGAAGAGAUUUACUUUAUGAACCCCCAUCCCUCUGGAUUUUUCUAACUGUCCCUGACAAUUAAUGUUUCCCCCAUCCCUAUGGAAAUUCUGGACAGUUUUUUACUACUACCAUACUUUCAAGCAUGAUGUCAGUGUUUUAAAAAAAUAACUCGGCAAGAUACAACAUUGUUCACAUAAAUGAGACAGAAACCGUAUUUUGGUGUAUGCACAGCAAGGAGGGGGGUACCUUGUUGAACUGCUGG